rnacentral:tRNA from 1 species
GCGCCCGUAGCUCACUGGGAUAGAGCGUUUGACUACGGAUCAAAAGGUUAGGGGUUCGACUCCUCUCGGGCGCGCCA